rnacentral:rRNA from 1 species
AAUGAACGUUGGCGGCGUGGAUUAGGCAUGCGAGUCGUGCGAGAACCGUAGCAAUACGGGGACAGCGGCGAAAGGGAGAGGAACACGUGGGUACCUACCCUCGGAUUCAGGAUAGCCAUGGGAAACUAUGGGUAAUACUGAAUAACGUCUCCGGACCAAAGGUGUGAUUCCGUCCGGGGAGGGGCCCGCGUCCUAUUAGCUGGUUGGUGAGGUAAUGGCUCACCAAGGCAAUGAUGCGUAGGGGGUGUGAGAGCAUGGCCCCCACCACUGGCACUGAGACACUGGCCAGACACCUACGGGUGGCUGCAGUCGAGAAUCUUCGGCAAUGGGCGCAAGCCUGACCGAGCGACGCCGCGUGCGGGAUGAAGGUCUUCGGAUUGUAAACCGCUGUCGGAGGGGAUGAAGUGCAGGGGGGUACUCCCCCCUGUUUGACAGAGCCUCGGAGGAAGCACGGGCUAAGUUCGUGCCAGCCGCCGCGGUAAUAC